rnacentral:rRNA from 1 species
UACGAAGGGGGCUAGCGUUGUUCGGACUUACUGGGCGUAAAGCGCACGUAGGCGGAUCUGUAAGUUGGGGGUGAAAUCCCAGGGCUCAACCCUGGAACUGCCUUCAAGACUGCAGGUCUCGAGGUCAGGAGAGGCGAGUGGAAUUCCGAGUGUAGAGGUGAAAUGCGUAGAUAUUCGGUGGAACACCAGUGGCGAAGGCGACUCGCGGGACUGAUACUGACGCUGAGGUGCGAAAGCGUGGGGAGCAAACAGG